rnacentral:rRNA from 1 species
UACAGAGGGCUCGAGCGUUGUUCGGAAUCAUUGGGCGUAAAGGGUGCGUAGGCGGCGGGGUAAGUCUGAUGUGAAAUCCCGGGGCUCAACCCCGGAACUGCAUUGGAUACUGCUCUGCUUGAGUACUGGAGAGGAGACUGGAAUUUACGGUGUAGCAGUGAAAUGCGUAGAUAUCGUAAGGAAGACCAGUGGCGAAGGCGAGUCUCUGGACAGUUACUGACGCUGAGGCACGAAGGCUAGGGGAGCAAACAGG